rnacentral:tRNA from 1 species
GGAGGAUACAGCUCAGUGGUAGAGCACAUGCUUAGCACAUGCAAGGUCCUGGGUUCAAUCCCUAGUACCUCCA